rnacentral:lncRNA from 1 species
AGAAAUAAGAGUGGCGCAAUGCUAUGAAAGAUGAAAUUGCAAGAAUUCAAAGGAAUGGAACUUUGGAAUGGGUGGAUUUUCCUAAAGAUAAUAAAGCUAUUAGAGUCGAAUGAGUCUUUAAAAUAAAGUUUCAAGCAGAUGGUAGUAUUCAAAAACAAAAAGCACGACUUGUAGUAAAAGACUAUUCACAACAACAAGGUGUGGAUUAUUAUAACACCUUUGGUCCUUUUUCAUGGUUUCAAAGCGGAUUAUUAUAACACCUUUGGUCCUGUUUCAUGGUUUCAAAGCUAUAAAGUUCAAGAAGUAGAAC